GCCUCAGUGGUCUAGUAGUAUGAUUCGCCCUUCGGGAGUUUUCCCGUAAGCAAUUGCUUACAGAUGCUUACGUAAUCAGCUGGGUGAGGUCCUGGGUUCAAUUCCCAGCUGGGGCC
rnacentral:tRNA from 1 species